CGGGAAACCGGAAGCUAAUACCGGAUAAUAUAUUGAACCGCAUGGUUCAAUAGUGAAAGACGGUUUUGCUGUCACUUAUAGAUGGAUCCGCGCCGCAUUAGCUAGUUGGUAAGGUAACGGCUUACAAGGCAACGAUGCGUAGCCGACCUGAGAGGGUGAUCGGCCACACUGGAACUGAGACACGGUCCAGACUCCUACGGGAGGCAGCAGCC
rnacentral:rRNA from 1 species